rnacentral:rRNA from 1 species
UCGAGAAUUUUUCACAAUGGGCGAAAGCCUGAAGGAGCGACGCCGCGUGGGGGAUGAAUGGCUUCGGCCCGUAAACCCCUGUCAUUUGCGAACAAACCUUUUCAUUUAACAGACGAAAAGCUGAUAGUAGCGGAAGAGGAAGGGACGGCUAACUCUGUGCCAGCAGCCGCGGUAAUACAGAGGUCCCAAGCGUUGUUCGGAUUCACUGGGCGUAAAGGGUGCGUAGGUGGUCAGAUAAGUUUGAUGUGAAAUCUCGGAGCUUAACUCCGAAACUGCAUUGAAUACUAUUUGGCUUGAGGGUCGGAGGGGGGACUGGAAUUCUCGGUGUAGCAGUGAAAUGCGUAGAUAUCGAGAGGAACACCAGUGGCGAAGGCGAGUCCCUGGACGACUCCUGACACUGAGGCACGAAAGCUAGGGGAGCAAACAGGAUUAGAUACCCCCGUAGUCC